GACGUAGGAGGCGAGCGUUAUCCGGAUUCACUGGGCGUAAAGCGCGCGUAGGCGGACCUGCAAGGUCGGGGGUGAAAGCCCGAGACUCAACCUCGGAACUGCCUUCGAUACUGCGGGUCUCGAGUCCGGGAGAGGUGAGUGGAAUUCCUAGUGUAGAGGUGAAUUCGUAGAUAUUAGGAAGAACACCAGUGGCGAGGCGGCUGCACU
rnacentral:rRNA from 1 species